rnacentral:lncRNA from 1 species
AGUAGCUGGGAUUACAGUUGAAGCAUAUGUCCUGUGAGCUUAGGGGUGCUACAAGUUGACCACUGCAGCAGUAAAGAUGAUUCUGAAGAAUGGCAUGGGAUGGAUCCUUUCGAAUGCACUUGAGCAGCGGUCUCCAACCACAGGGCCACAGAGCUGGAGGUGAGCAGCAGGCAAGUGAAGGGAAACUUCAUCUGUAUUUCUAGCCCCUCCCGUCGCUUGCAUGACCACCUGAGCUCCAUGUCCUGUCAGAUCAGCAGCAGCAUUAGAUUCUCAUAGGAGCACAAACUCUGUUGUGAAGUGUG